UACGAAGGGUGCAAGCGUUAUUCGGAAUUACUGGGCGUAAAGCGUGCGUAGGUGGUGAGUUAAGUCUGUCGUGAAAGCCCCGGGCUCAACCUGGGAAUGGCGAUGGAUACUGGCUCGCUAGAGUGCGGUAGAGGAGAGUGGAAUUCCCGGUGUAGCAGUGAAAUGCGUAGAGAUGCGGAGGAACACCGAUGGCGAAGGCAGCCCCCUGGGCCGACAUUGACGCUGAGGAGCGAAAGCCAGGGGAGCAAACGGG
rnacentral:rRNA from 1 species